GGCCCGGCUGCGGCGGUCCAGUCCUUUGGUCUGGUACUGCCCGAGUCGGGUCUUGCCUUCUGGCCAACUGCGGUGCCUCUAACCGGGUGCCGUGGCGAACCAGGACGUUUACCUUGAAAAAAUUAGAGUGUUUAAGGCAGGCUCACACGCUUGAAUAUAUUAGCAUGGAAUAAUAGAAUAGGACUGCUGGUUCUAUUUUGUUGGUUUCUAGGACCAGAGUA
rnacentral:rRNA from 1 species